GUAGCAAAAUGAGUGCAAUAUUUGUCGAGAGAUGUUGUUCAGAAACUAUAGUACGACCUGAACUGCUGUGAACGCUUCUCACUGCAGUUUGAUGAGUCCAUCGACAGGAACAACAGAGACCAGUUAAUUUGUUAUGUCUUUAAAAACCAUGCAUGCAAAAACAACUGAAGUAGAUAUUCUCACCUUGUUGGCUGCGUGAAGAUAAAGAAAAGCUCGAGUGCUUCAAAGCCACGGUAAACAGAGAUGUUACUCAGAUAGGUAACAUUCAAUAUGAGCUGGAUGAACAGGAACUUGUCCAGGAACGCUGGGUUUUGGCGCACAAUUAUUCUUCUGCACUUCUGGAGUUGGAUGAAAACCACAUCACUGUGAAUCAGGACAGUUCCACCCUGCCAGGAGGAAGUCUAGUGAACCUUUGUUGCACCCCCUCUCUGGUUAUAAGAUUUUUCCUGGGAUAAGGAGACUAAAACUGCAGAUGGUACACGUGGUUUAACCAAGCUCCUACACACAUGAAGCAGGAAAAGCAAAGAAAAAGGGAACUGUGUGUACCAGCUGAGGGCCCCACCUCAGGGUCUUUGGCAGCUGGCUACUAAGCGAUUAGCAUGCUGGGCAGAGCCAGACUCUGGCAACAUGGAAGAGGCUGGAUGGCCCAAAGCAGUACCACAGCUGGACUCUGGUGGCCUGUGGAGAGGCGUAGCUGAUGAGCCUAGGUGGCAGUAAGCACUGAGACUGCAGCACGCUUGAGCGGAGGUCGAGCCCAGCAUGUGGGAGGACAUUGAACCCGAGGGGCAAGCCCAGCGUGCAGUGAUUGCAGACCUUUGGCUGAAGGAGGACUGUAAUGUAAUGUUGAACUUCUAACUUUACUACUUAUUUACUACUUUGUGCUGAAAAGAACUGUAAAGUUAAACUUUUAGCUUAUUUCUUUAUUUUUCUAUAUUCUAUAAGAUUUUGUACUUUGGUAUCUUGUGUAAAAUGGCAACAA